UCGAGGAUCUUCCGCAAUGAGCGCAAGCUUGACGGAGCGACGCCGCGUGUGGGAUGAAGGCCUUCGGGUUGUAAACCACUGUCACUCGUUAAGAAAGGGUUGGGGGUUAACAGCCUCCAGCACUGACGAAGGCGAGAGAGGAAGCCACGGCUAACUUCGUGCCAGCAGCCGCGGUAAGACGAAGGUGGCGAGCGUUGUUCGGAAUCACUGGGCAUAAAGCGCACGUAGGCGGUGCCGUAAGUCAGAUGUGAAAUCCCUCGGCCUAACCGAGGAACUGCGUCCGAUACUGCGGUGCUUGAGGACCAGAGGGGUGCAUGGAAUUUCCGGUGGAGCGGUGAAAUGCGUUGAUAUCGGAAGGAACUCCGGCGGCGAAAGCGAUGCACUGGCUGGUUUCUGACGCUGAGGUGCGAAAGCCAGGGGAGCAAACGGGAUUAGAUACCCCCGUAGUCC
rnacentral:rRNA from 1 species